UACGAAGGGGGCUAGCGUUGUUCGGAAUUACUGGGCGUAAAGCGCGCGCAGGCGGGUCAUCAAGUCAGGGGUGGAAGCCCAGAGCUCAACUCUGGAACUGCCCUUGAAACUGGUGACCUUGAGUACGGGAGAGGUGAGUGGAAUUCCCAGUGUAGAGGUGAAAUUCGUAGAUAUUGGGAAGAACACCGGUGGCGAAGGCGACUCACUGGGCCAUUACUGACACUGAGGUGCGAAAGCGUGGGUAGCAAACAGG
rnacentral:rRNA from 1 species